rnacentral:rRNA from 1 species
AGUGAACGCUGGCGGUAGGCCUAACACAUGCAAGUCGAACGGCAGCACAGGAGAGCUUGCUCUCUGGGUGGCGAGUGGCGGACGGGUGAGGAAUACAUCGGAAUCUACUUUUUCGUGGGGGAUAACGUAGGGAAACUUACGCUAAUACCGCAUACGACCUACGGGUGAAAGCAGGGGAUCUUCGGACCUUGCGCGAUUGAAUGAGCAGAUGUCGGAUUAGCUAGUUGGCGGGGUUAAGGCCCACCAAGGCGACGAUCCGUAGCUGGUCUGAGAGGAUGCUCAGCCACACUGGAACUGAGACACGGUCCAGACUCCUACGGGAGGCAGCAGUGGGGAAUAUUGGACAAUGGGCGCAAGCCUGAUCCAGUCAUACCGCGUGGGUGAAGAAGGCCUUCGGGUUGUAAAGCCCUUUUGUUGGGAAAGAAAUCCAGCUGGUUAAUACCCGGUUGGGAUGACGGUACCCAAAGAAUAAGCACCGGCUAACUUCGUGCCAGCAGCCGCCGUAA